rnacentral:rRNA from 1 species
UACGAAGGGGGCUAGCGUUGUUCGGAUUUACUGGGCGUAAAGCGCACGUAGGCGGAUCGUUAAGUCAGGGGUGAAAUCCUGGGGCUCAACCCCAGAACUGCCUUUGAUACUGGCGAUCUCGAGUCCGGAAGAGGUGAGUGGAACUCCUAGUGUAGAGGUGGAAUUCGUAGAUAUUAGGAAGAACACCAGUGGCGAAGGCGGCCAACUGGUCCGGUUCUGACGCUGAGGCGCGAAAGCGUGGGGAGCAAACAGG